rnacentral:rRNA from 1 species
CCCGCGACAAACCAUUCAAGUUUCUGCCCCAUCAGCUUUCGACGGUAGUGUAUUGGACUACCGUGGCUUUUACGGGUAACGGAGGAUUAGGGUUCGAUUCCGGAGAGGGAGCCUGAGAAACGGCUACCACAUCUAAGGAAGGCAGCAGGCGCGUAAAUUACCCAAUUCUGAUUCAGAGAGGUAGUG